UUUCUACUUUCUUCAAUCUAUAUUACUUGUCUUUGAUUAUCUAAAUACGGAUGUAUGUAGACACAUUUUUGAAUUAGAUACAUCUAUAUAUAGACAAAUCUAAAACAAGUAAUAUGGAUCGGAGGGAGUACUGG
rnacentral:pre_miRNA from 1 species